ensembl:snRNA U6 U6 spliceosomal RNA
GUGCUUGCUUCAGCAGCACAUAUACAAAAAGUGGAACAAUACAUAGAAAAUUAGCAUGGCCCUACAGAUGGAUGACAUGCAAAUCUGCAAAGCGUCCCAUAUUUUU